UAAAGGUGAGCUGGACAAAGUGGAGGUAAUCCUUGCGAUCAUAUCCUUUCCUACAAUUGAUUGGCUGGAAGAAGUUAAACUGGGUUAUGCUAAAGACCCAGGACCGAAGACCUAUUUUCUAAAUUUGAGGAAGGUAGCUUACCCUCGCCCUACACUGUCAUGAAAGGGCUCCUAUUCUACAAACAAAGAUUGUUCCUUGCAUAUCUCUUUAAAUAAAAACUUCUACCAUUAUUGCAUAGCAGCCAUUGGUGGGGGGUGGGGGGGGGUGGUGGAGGACAAAAAAAUGCAUCGGAUAAAGAGAGAUGUCUUUUGGCCUGGAAUCAGAUCUAAUGUCAGCAACUCAUAAGAGACUACGACACUUGCCAGGGUGUCAAGGCAGAUCAAUCAAAGCCAAGUGGAUUAUUGCAACCUCUUCCUAUUCCCUCACAGAGAUGAAAAAUACGCAGACUUGAAGCAUAAGGAACUGAGUUUAGAGGUUGGUGAGUGGGUUUACUGCACUUCCAGCCCUAUAGGCAAUUGUCUAUGACUCAUCGGAGGAGUUUGAAACUAGCCUUACGGUAAUAACGGUACUAUGGCCCUUUCUAGGUCGUUCAAAAGAUAGGGGUUGUGGCUUAUCGGCUGCAACCUUCUCCCACUUCAGCCAUUCACCCUAUCUUCCACAUCUUGCAGUUGAAGAAGAAGCUUGGCCAAGGAAUCUCACUACUCUUGACCCUACAGUUGGUCAUUGUUGCACAGGUCCUCGAGCCUGAACUGGAGAAAGUGUUAGCAUGCCAUGUUAGAAAAUUCAAGAAUCAACCCCUUUCUGAAUUGCUAAUUAAGUGGCAUGAACAACAAGAUGACAAUGCUACCUGGAAAUCUUAUUAUGAACAGUUGAAGCUCUCUUACCUGUACCUUCUGGGCAAGGUGCUCAAAAGGGGGAAGACUUUGUCACACUUUCUCCUGAGGUAUCUGCAUACUGAAGCUAAGUAUGAAGAAAGGGGGUUUUGGAGACUCUCGGAAGUGGAAGAAGCAUAUAUCUUCCUUAGUUGUACGUGUCUUUAGCUUGGAGUCUAUUAGGCCAAACCUUUUAUUGUGUUAAUUGGUUCACGGAAGGGCAACUGAGUAUGGGUAAUUCUUGGGUUGGACCACUAUACCUUAGUUAAAUCCAGUUGUUAGAUUUCUCAGUCAAUCUGUAUAUCACUAUCAUAAAAUGUUCGAUAUGCAAUAGAUGAAUACAAUUCUCUUA